AAUACUGGGAGGAAGGCAGGCGAGCCGUUCAGAUUUAUGUCUCCAGCCAGUUUAUGCUGCACUUGGGUUGUUUAACAGUCAGGGACAAUGGGUUCGACUACAGAUGAAGAAUUUAAAGAGAAAUUACUAUGGAACGUCAAAAGAGAAGUGAAGCAGAUUAUGGAGGAGGCGGUGACCAAGAAGUUUGUACAUGAAGACAGCAGCCACAUUAUUGCACUUUGCACUUAGCGUUGAGGCUCAGUUGUUGUGAAUUUCAAAACCCCAGCAGAGCUGUAAGAUCUAAGCAGCAAUGUACAAGACAUCAGGACCCGUCACUACAAAUCAAAAAUCACCCUGCCCAUGUUUGCCUGAGUGGCCUGAACUCUUUUUGUAAGUAUGCAGGGCUGCCAUUUUUAUACGGAGUGCUUGAUUUAUCCAAACACGUGUUAUAGAAGACUAAACUGUGAAUCAAGGUUUAAAGG
rnacentral:lncRNA from 1 species